UUGGAGGGCAAGUCUGGUGCCAGCAGCCGCGGUAAUUCCAGCUCCAAUAGCGUAUAUUAAAGUUGUUGCAGUUAAAAAGCUCGUAGUUGAACUUCGGAACCAGUAGGUUGGUCGUGCCUCCGGUACGUACUGACCUUACCGGUUUCUCCCUUCUGACGAACCAUAAUGCCAUUAAUUUGGUGUUGUGGGGAAUCAGGACUGUUACUUUGAAAAAAUUAGAGUGUUUAAAGCAAGCUUUAAGCUUGAAUAGAUUAGCAUGGAAUAACGAAAUAGGACGUUUGAUCCUAUUUUGUUGGUUUCUAGGAUCGACGUAAUGAUUAAUAGGGAUAGUUGGGGGCAUUAGUAUUCAAUUGUCAGAGGUGAAAUUCUUGGAUUUAUUGAAGACUAACUACUGCGAAAGCAUUUGCCAAGGAUGUUUUCAUUAAUCAAGAACGAAAGUUAGGGGAUCGAAGACGAUCAGAUACCGUCGUAGUCUUAACCAUAAACUAUGCCGACUAGGGAUCGGAUGAUGUUAAUUUUUUAAUGACUC
rnacentral:rRNA from 1 species